UACGUAGGGGGCAAGCGUUGUCCGGAAUUAUUGGGCGUAAAGAGCGCGUAGGCGGUCCGAUAAGUCGGCUGUGAAAGUCCAAGGGCUCAACCCUUGAAAGCCGGACCGAUACUGUCGGACUAGAGUCCGGAAGAGGCGAGUGGAAUUCCCGGUGUAGCGGUGAAAUGCGCAGAUAUCGGGAGGAACACCAAUGGCGAAGGCAGCUCGCUGGGACGGUACUGACGCUGAGGCGCGAAAGCCAGGGGAGCAAACGGG
rnacentral:rRNA from 1 species